UUUGCAGAGAAAAUUUAAGAGAGAGUUUGGAAUAAGAAGAGGAAUUUUAUUAGAAUUUUGAGGUAGAAGAAGAGGAGGAGAACUCAAGCAAAGUGUAUCCAUUGCUAAAUUUUGGUUCAUUCUGCACAUCACUAGUUUUUAAUUCGGUUUGAACUCUUCAAAAGGAAUUAAGAGGGACAAGUUAAAGAGGUCGUGUGUGCGCGAUUCUGGAAGUGGUUCUAUUUCGAGGAUUAUCUGAGUUUAUGCACAGGGAAUCAGAUUUACAUGUCUUCAGGACAUACACCAAGUACAACCAAUGUUUACUAGCUCUACGAUGUAGUGGGGCCCAUCAAGCACUCCCAUCGUCUUUGUCGUAGUGGGGCCUGCCCAGCACUCACGACAAUAUCGUUGUUACGGAGUACACUCAACGUCAAUAACGGAAUCUAACCUGUGUUCACACGGUACCAUAGAGCCUCGUACUCAAUAUCUCAAUCAUGUAGUUAACAAAAAUCUUUGGAUGUCAUAUGAAAACAUUAAAGCAUGUGUGCUAUCUUUAUCUUUCGUAGAACUCAAGCUUACUUAGAU